CCGUAACGAGCGCAACCCUUGUCCUUAGUUACCAGCACGUUAUGGUGGGCACUCUAAGGAGACUGCCGGUGACAAACCGGAGGAAGGUGGGGAUGACGUCAAGUCAUCAUGGCCCUUACGGCCUGGGCUACACACGUGCUACAAUGGUCGGUACAGAGGGUUGCCAAGCCGCGAGGUGGAGCUAAUCCCACAAAACCGAUCGUAGUCCGGAUCGCAGUCUGCAACUCGACUGCGUGAAGUCGGAAUCGCUAGUAAUCGCGAAUCAGAAUGUCGCGGUGAAUACGUUCCCGGGCCUUGUACACACCGCCCGUCACACCAUGGGAGUGGGUUGCACCAGAAGUAGCUAGUCUAACUUUCGGGGGGACGGUUACCACGGUGUGAUUCAUGAUCUGGGGUGAAGUCGUAACAAGGUAUC
rnacentral:rRNA from 1 species